AGUCGAGCGGUAGCACAGAGAGCUUGCUCUCGGGUGACGAGCGGCGGACGGGUGAGUAAUGUCUGGGAACUGCCUGAUGGAGGGGGAUAACUACUGGAAACGGUAGCUAAUACCGCAUAACGUCGCAAGACCAAAGUGGGGGACCUUCGGGCCUCAUGCCAUCAGAUGUGCCCAGAUGGGAUUAGCUGGUAGGUGGGGUAACGGCUCACCUAGGCGACGAUCCCUAGCUGGUCUGAGAGGAUGACCAGCCACACUGGAACUGAGACACGGUCCAGACUCCUACGGGAGGCAGCAGUGGGGAAUAUUGCACAUUGGGCGCAAGCCUGAUGCAGCCAUGCCGCGUGUGUGAAGAAGGCCUUCGGGUUGUAAAGCACUUUCAGCGGGGAGGAAGGCGGUGAGGUUAAUAACCUCAUCGAUUGACGUUACCCGCAGAAGAAGCACCGGCUAACUCCGUGCCAGCAGCCGCGGUAAUACGGAGGGUGCAAGCGUUAAUCGGAAUUACUGGGCGUAAAGCGCACGCAGGCGGUCUGUCAAGUCGGAUGUGAAAUCCCCGGGCUCAACCUGGGAACUGCAUUCGAAACUGGCAGGCUAGAGUCUUGUAGAGGGGGGUAGAAUUCCAGGUGUAGCGGUGAAAUGCGUAGAGAUCUGGAGGAAUACCGGUGGCGAAGGCGGCCCCCUGGACAAAGACUGACGCUCAGGUGCGAAAGCGUGGGGAGCAAACAGGAUUAGAUACCCUGGUAGUCCACGCUGUAAACGAUGUCGAUUUGGAGGUUGUGCCCUUGAGGCGUGGCUUCCGGAGCUAACGCGUUAAAUCGACCGCCUGGGGAGUACGGCCGCAAGGUUAAAACUCAAAUGAAUUGACGGGGGCCCGCACAAGCGGUGGAGCAUGUGGUUUAAUUCGAUGCAACGCGAAGAACCUUACCUGGUCUUGACAUCCACAGAACUUACCAGAGAUGCAUUGGUGCCUUCGGGAACUGUGAGACAGGUGCUGCAUGGCUGUCGUCAGCUCGUGUUGUGAAAUGUUGGGUUAAGUCCCGCAACGAGCGCAACCCUUAUCCUUUGUUGCCAGCGGUUAGGCCGGGAACUCAAAGGAGACUGCCAGUGAUAAACUGGAGGAAGGUGGGGAUGACGUCAAGUCAUCAUGGCCCUUACGACCAGGGCUACACACGUGCUACAAUGGCAUAUACAAAGAGAAGCGACCUCGCGAGAGCAAGCGGACCUCAUAAAGUAUGUCGUAGUCCGGGAUUGGAGUCUGCAACUCGACUCCAUGAAGUCGAAUCGCUAGUAAUCGUAGAUCAGAAUGCUACGGUGAAUACGUUCCCGGCUGUACACACGCCCGUCACACCAUGGGGAGUGGGUGCAAAAGAAGUAGUAGCUAACCUCGGAGGCCGCUUACCACUUUGUGGAUUCAUGACUGGGG
rnacentral:rRNA from 1 species